CCUACGGGAGGCAGCAGUGAGGAAUAUUGGUCAAUGGGCGCGAGCCUGAACCAGCCAAGUAGCGUGAAGGAUGACUGCCCUACGGGUUGUACACUUCUUUUAUAAAGGAAUAAAGUGAGGCACGUGUGCCUUUUUGUAUGUACUUUAUGAAUAAGGAUCGGCUAACACCGUUCCCGCAGCCGAUGUCAUACGGAGGAUCCGAGCGUUAUCCGGAUUUAUUGGGUUUAAAGGGAGCGUAGAUGGGUUGUUAAGUCAGUUGUGAAAGUUUGCGGCUCAACCGUAAAAUUGCAAUUGAUACUGGCAGUCUUGAGUACAGUUGAGGUAGGCGGAAUUCGUGGUGUAGCGGUGAAAUGCUUAGAUAUCACGAAGAACUCAGAUUGCGAAGGCAGCUUACUAAACUGCCACUGACAUUGAUGCUCGAAAGUGUGGGUAUCAAACAGGAUUAGAGACCCUUGUAGUA
rnacentral:rRNA from 1 species